ensembl:lncRNA
UUAAACUGUCAUCCUCACGAUAACACACAUGGAGACCGCGUGGGCCUUGGCAACGGCUCGUGGGGAAGAGGCCUCUCCCAAAGCACAGGCCCCACGAGGACUGUAAUGCACAGCACAGACACAGCUCAGAUCCAGAGUGGAGGCUCUGUUUGGGUGGUGGUGGUGGCAGAGGGCUGGCUGGGUGCACAGACACCCAUCUUCUACCAGCCACAGCCUGGAGGGCUUUCCUUUGGGCCACCCCUUUGGGGUGGAGAGCUGCUGGGGCACGUGGGCACUGAGCAGAGUGACCUCCAGCACUUUGGUCUGCAACACCAAGAUUUCAUACAGGCGGUUUUAUAGGAUUUGAGAAAAACCUGCUCCGGUUUUCUUCUUCUUAUUUUUUUUUAAAUCAGCAUCACAUACAACAUGCAUAACACAUCCAGCACUAGGAAACAUAUGGACACGCAGGGGCAGAACAGGUAUGGAAGUAAGCAGUGAUGCGACUGUUUCUAUCAGAGGAUCUAGUCCCGAUUGGGAUGUUCUUCCCCCCACGUCCCCCCUCAAAAAUAAAUAAAAUUAAGCAUUUAGAAUGUUUUUUAAGCAUCUCUACAAAAUAUCUUGUCAACUGCAUGGUUAGUAAGCAAGGAUUUAGAUCAACAUUUUCUUAUUGAUCCCUAACUCAACAACAAAAAAUUAAUUUACACUUGAACUUCUGUUCCCUGUCCCAAACCGCCUUCCCUGACCGGAAUGCCCGCAGUGACACCCGCUGGCAGCAGCAGGCCCAGCUCCAGGCCCUCUCCAAAAGCUCCAGCACACGGCCCACAACCGCUGCAAGGCUCGGACCAAAGAGACCUCGCCAACACAGAGAGGCAACUUUGUCACCUCAUUGAGAAUUGCUACUCGAUACCUUUAUUCAACACAGAUUUCUUCUACUUGUUGCUCUAAAACGUAAAUAAUGAUCAAGUGUCACUUGUUAAAUAUAAUAAAAUAUCUAUUUGUACAUGAUUACUCGUUAAUUAAUAAGUUAAUAAUUCCUGCUGCCUGGGUGGUGGAAUACAAUAGCCCAUUUUAUGCCUGUUUGGCCUUUGGCAGGCCUUCGAGCUAGCACUAGAGUUUUCCACCAUGAAAAGGCCCAAUACCAUAAUACGACUGAAGCAAGCUGCUAUACCAAGUGAUGGGCUGGCAGCAGAG